rnacentral:rRNA from 1 species
UACGAAGGGGGCUAGCGUUGUUCGGAAUUACUGGGCGUAAAGCGCGCGCAGGCGGUCUUCCAAGUCAGUGGUGGAAAGCCCCGGGAGCUCAACUCCGGAAUUGCCAUUGAAACUGUUGGACUUGAGGAUGAGAGAGGUGAGUGGAAUUCCCAGUGUAGAGGUGAAAUUCGUAGAUAUUCGGAAGAACACCAGUGGCGAAGGCGACUUACUGGACACAUAUUGACGCUGAGGUGGCGAAAAGCGUGGGGAGCAAACAGG